AUUGAACGCUGGCGGCAUGCCUUACACAUGCAAGUCGAACGGCAGCACGGGGGCAACCCUGGUGGCGAGUGGCGAACGGGUGAGUAACAUAUCGGAACGUGCCCUGGAGUGGGGGAUAACUAGUCGAAAGACUAGCUAAUACCGCAUACGAUCUACGGAUGAAAGUGGGGGAUCGCAAGACCUCAUGCUCGUGGAGCGGCCGAUAUCUGAUUAGCAGUUGGUGGGGUAAAGGCCUACCAAGGCAUCGAUCAGUAGCUGGUCUGAGAGGACGACCAGCCACACUGGGACUGAGACACGGCCCAGACUCCUAC
rnacentral:rRNA from 1 species